rnacentral:lncRNA from 1 species
UGAAUGAAUGGCUGUCAUCCAGAGAGAUAUAAAAUAUCAAGACCUCUGCUCAAAGACUACACUUGGACUGACAAUUUCAUCAUCCAGAAGACUACUGGUAAGUUCAACCAAUUUCCUACUGAUUUAGUCAAAUAUGGAUUCAGGUAUUGGUCUAUUAUUAUCUUUUUAUCUAUUCAUUCUAUUAGUGGGCAUAAAAUUAUUAGUAUUUUUCUUGGUGAAUACAAAUGCUUGAAUUUGGAAUUGUUAACAUUAUGGGACAGUGAAAUAAGAAAUACUAAAUACAUAUCAGUGGGUUCCAAUAAACUUGUCUUAAAAAUACAAUAAAAAUUCAGCAUUAAAAAGGAAUAUUAAAUCUCUUUCACAUGAAUAUUACUGUCAUUCUCAAAAAUUUCCUCUCACAAGACUAUUUUUCCAUCAAUAUGACCAAUAUUUCCAUGUUUAUGUUUUGUUUUCCUCACUGAUCCUUGUUUUCUAUAUGAGAAACAAUUUUGAUAUCUAUUUUCAUUACCUCCUAUCAAAUUAAGUCCAUAUCAUCCCAAUGUGAGAUAAUGAGAUAGGUUAAGAACAAGUUUGUCAAUUCUGUGUGCAG